GACGAACGCUGGCGGCGUGCCUAAUACAUGCAAGUAGAACGCUGAAGGGAGGAGCUUGCUCUUCUUGGAUGAGUUGCGCACGGGUGAGUCACGCGUAGGUAACCUGCCUUGUAGCGGGGGAUAACUAUUGGAAACGAUAGCUAAUACCGCAUAACAAUGGAUGACACAUUUCAUUUAUUUGAAAGGGGCAAUUGCUCCACUACAAGAUGGACCUGCGUUGUAUUAGCUAGUAGGUGGGGUACUGGCGCACGUAGGCGGCGAUACAAAGCCGACCUGAUAGGACGGUCGGCCACACUGGGACUGAGACACGGCCCAGUCUCCUACGGGAGGCAGCAGGAGGGAAUCUGCGGGAAUGGGGGCAACCCUGACCGAGCAACGCGGCGUGAGUGAAGAAGGUUGUCGGAUCGGAAAGCUCGGUUGUAAGUCAAGAACGGGUGUGAGAGUGGAAAGUUCACACUGUGACGGUAGCUUACCAGAAAGGGACGGCUAACUACGUG
rnacentral:rRNA from 1 species